rnacentral:rRNA from 1 species
UGGGGAAUAUUGGACAAUGGGGGAAACCCUGAUCCAGCGACGCCGCGUGUGUGAAGAAGGCCUGCGGGUUGUAAAGCACUUUCGGUGGGAACGAAAUAUGCCGGGCUAAUACCCCGGUAGGCUGACGUUACUCAAUGAAGAAGCACCGGCUAACUCUGUGCCAGCAGCCGCGGUAAUACAGAGGGUGCGAGCGUUAAUCGGAAUCACUGGGCGUAAAGCGUACGUAGGUGGGCAGUUAAGUCAGGGGUGAAAGCCCGAGGCUCAACCUCGGAAUUGCCUCUGAUACUGGCUGUCUAGAGUUCGAGAGAGGUGAGUGGAAUUCCUAGUGUAGAGGUGAAAUUCGUAGAUAUUAGGAAGAACACCGGUGGCGAAGGCGGCUCACUGGCUCGAUACUGACACUGAGGUGCGAAAGCGUGGGGAGCAAACAGGAUUAGAUACCCUAGUAGUCCCUGAGCGGGCUGGCAAGGCGCAU